CAUGUCAGCAAUGAGUAAUAAUCACCAUCUUUNGUUUGAAUCUUAUGACUAUGAGACCAACCCAUGCACCACUCUAAGACCUG
rnacentral:snoRNA from 1 species